rnacentral:rRNA from 1 species
GAUGAACGCUGGCGGCGUGCCUAAUACAUGCAAGUCGAGCGAAUGGAUUAAGAGCUUGCUCUUAUGAAGUUAGCGGCGGACGGGUGAGUAACACGUGGGUAACCUGCCCAUAAGACUGGGAUAACUGCGGGAAACCGGGUCUAAUACCGGAUAACAUCUUGAACCGAAUGGUUCGAAAAUGACAGGCGGCUUCGGCUGUCACUUAUGGAUGGCCACGGGUCGCAUUAGUUAGUGGGUGAGAUAACGGCUCACCAAGGAAACGAUGCGUAGCCGACCUGAGAGGGUGAUCGGCCACACUGGGACUGAGACACGGCCCAGACUCCUACGGGAGGCAGCAGUAGGGAAUCUUCCGCAAUGGACGAAAGUCUGACGGAGCAACGCCGCGUGAGUGAUGAAGGCUUUCGGGUCGUAAAACUCUGUUGUUAGGGAAGAACAAGUGCUAGUUGAAUAAGCUGGCACCUUGACGGUACCUAACCAGAAAGCCACGGCUAACUACGUGCCAGCCGCCGCAGUAA